GGUUCAGAGGGAAAGGCCUGCAGAUGCGGCGGCACGAGAGUGAGCUCUCAGAGUGAAAACAAGACUGUGGUGUGUGGGGUUGUCGGAGGGUGACUCAACACCGCUGUCACACCAGAGCUGAAGACAGACUUUCGGGACCAGAAGGAAUUCAACAGGAUGUUCAGUCACAACUUCACAGGGGUUUCUCAUCACGACUCCUCCCAAGGACAGCAAAGAAGGCCCCCGGCCCACGUCCGUGACGUGGAACCUUCUUGAUGCCCUCUGUGCGUCAGACAGGCACUGUGCCAGACCUGCAGACACAAUGAUGACUUGAGUGUUCCUCCCAGCCAGGGGCCCUGGCUGCCUGGUGGUGCAGGUAGAAAUCCGAACAGGUUCCUGUUAAAGGUGAGAUCAGACGGUAUUUGUCUUUCACCACCUGGCUUAUUUUACUCGGCAUAAUGCUUUCCAGUUCCAUCCAUGCUGUUGCAAAAGAAAACCAAUGACAUGGGAAGAAAGAGAAGAGGACACUUUUACAGAACGCGACAUGUGUCUUCUUUUGGGUCCUGGCCUGGUUCCACCCACCCAGCUCUAAAAGGACGCUUUGGAGACAGCCAGGGACAGGAUCAUGGCCUGGGCGGCAGACGGCAUCAAAGGUUGACUCCCACACCUGUCAGCUAGGACGACGGCGCGGUGGACGCAUUAAAAGGUGUCCUGAGCAGAAGUGAUGCACCUUGCUCACAGUGUGAUCGGGCUGAGGUGCCACGAGGGCAGCGGGGGUGGACGUGGGAAAGAAACCCCUGCAGGAAGGCAAGCUGCCGUUGGCUGUAGCAUCUGGGCAUGGGGUCCGCAAGGGGCAGGACAAGCCCCUGCUCAUCCAGGUCCCACACCUGGCAGAGAGGGAAGCACACAGGACCCUUGGGGACCUCCUGAGCCACUCAGGACCACGGCAGGAGGGUGCUUAGAGAGGGUUUUUAGGACAAUACCGACACUCUCCAAGACAAAGUAAAAAAGCAGGACAUCUUAGUCACAUGAAACUCUAGGAAAUCCCCAAAAGUAAGUAAGAAUUACAGAUUUGUGCCGAACUGUGCUUGGCCUGACCUAAUGUCGAUUUUCCCAAGUCGGACUCUGGUGGAUUCCGCUUUUCAACAGCUCUACCACCUGGGCCACGGCGCAGACUGGCACUCUCCCCAUUUCCCACACGUACAGUCCAGAGAGGUCCAUUAGCUGUCACCCUGGAGCACCUGCCUGGCAGCCAUCAGCUGUGCUGGCCGCCUCUCUUGGCAUGGACCACCUACUGGUCAUGGGGCAUUUUACUGAGGUUCAUUCUCAGUGUUUUGCGACUGCGAAUGGAAAAAUACAAGCCCCAAAACCAGUGGUAGGAAAUGGCCUUGACAGGGGUGAGGCAAGGACGGAAACGGUUGCUGAAGCAGCGACCUCAAACCUCAGUGAGCUGUGCCUUGAAUGUAAGGCAGAGUAAAGAUUAUCGUGAGCAUGAAUUUUCACUUAGAGCUGGUGCAUGAUCUUUGUAAUAAUAAUUUUAACCUUCAAAAUAGUCCACUAAGUGGGCUUACUGAACCAUUCUCCAACUGUAGAUCAUUUAAAUAAUUGUCCUUCUUUUGAGGAUUAUUCUUGGAAAAUAUAUUUGCUAAAGGGGAAUCACUGCAUCAAAGGGCGUUCAUGUUUUGAUGGUCCUUGACAAACUGCUAGAUAUCCCUUCCGCAGCCCCAGCUGGCCACCAUGUACCCAAUCCUCCUGCCUACAUCAGUGGUUCUCAAAGUGCUGUCCAGGCACCCCUGAAGGAUUCCUGGGCUGCUUUUGGGAAAUCCACAAGGUCAAAACUAUUCCAGUGACACUGCGACAUUCUCUUCCAUACACACCCUCUCAGGCGUGUAGAGUUUCCCAGAGGAAGGAAAGGUCAGCCCUUUUCAUUAAACCAGAUAUCAGAGAGAUUCGCAAACCUGUA